rnacentral:rRNA from 1 species
AGCGCAGGCGGGAAGGUAAGUCUAUCUUAAAAGUGCGGGGCUCAACCCCGUGAGGGGAUAGAAACUAUCAUUCUUGAGUGCAGGAGAGGAAAGCGGAAUUCCUAGUGUAGCGGUGAAAUGCGUAGAUAUUAGGAGGAACACCAGUGGCGAAGGCGGCUUUCUGGACUGUAACUGACGCUGAGGCUCGAAAGCCAGGGAGCAACG